CCUACGGGGGGCAGCAGUGAGGAAUAUUGGUCAAUGGACGAGAGUCUGAACCAGCCAAGUAGCGUGAAGGAUGACUGCCCUAUGGGUUGUAAACUUCUUUUAUAUGGGAAUAAAAUGUUCCACGUGUGGGAUUUUGUAUGUACCAUAUGAAUAAGGAUCGGCUAACUCCGUGCCAGCAGCCGCGGUAAUACGGAGGAUCCGAGCGUUAUCCGGAUUUAUUGGGUUUAAAGGGAGCGUAGGUGGGUUGUUAAGUCAGUUGUGAAAGUUUGCGGCUCAACCGUAAAAUUGCAGUUGAAACUGGCAGUCUUGAGUACAGUAGAGGUGGGCGGAAUUCGUGGUGUAGCGGUGAAAUGCUUAGAUAUCACGAAGAACUCCGAUUGCGAAGGCAGUUCACUGAACUGCAACUGACACUGAGGCUCGAAAGUGUGGGUAUCAAACAGGAUUAGAUACCCUAGUAGUC
rnacentral:rRNA from 1 species